CUUUCUAUAGAAAAUUAUUGUUUGCUUUUGUAACUAUCGUGGAUGGUUCAACUCAAUCCAAAGUUUGUCGUGUUACCUAGUGCAUAUAUAACGAAUCACAUUGUCAGUUUUAUAACUAUUACUGAAUUGCUAAAAUCGAUUUACCAAUACAUAUAUGAAAUUUUUUAAACGGCAUACCUUAAGCCAAAAUCCUAGAUUCACUGAGGGUGGGAGCCAUGUUGAAGGAGCGAAACCAAGGCUUGCACGCAGAGUAAAAGAAAGGAGAGCAAAACCAAGUUGGUGUCGAAUAACAAUGUAGAAUUUUCUACAACAAGAUAAUUUUAUAUUAGUACAUACAUCACGUAGCAUCAAGCAUAUAUUAGUACUCCCUGUAUUUUUGCUAUUUUUUAAUAUAUAACAUUAAGGACAAGUAAACGGAUUCAUGCGAACUAAUUCGGUUGCCAGAAAUAUCACAUAUUUAAAAACCGAGAAAGCAGUGUUCAACUUACUUGCCAUGGUUGUUGAUAGUAUAUACUAGUAAUAGUCCAAUGACAUAUACGUACACGAGUGUGGAUCACUUUCCAUCAAUAGCUUUGAACAGAUGAUCAGGAGCUCAUGAGAAUCUAUGACCAUAAUACCUCAUCAUGUAUGUAGAAACGAAAACACCAACCCCAACCCAGCCAUAA
rnacentral:lncRNA from 1 species